CCUACGGGUGGCAGCAGUGAGGAAUAUUGGUCAAUGGGCGCAAGCCUGAACCAGCCAAGUAGCGUGCGGGAUGAAGGCCCUACGGGUUGUAAACUUCUUUUACACGGGGAUAACGCCCUCCACUUGUACAGCUCUGCAUGUACCGUAUGAAUAAGGGCCGGCUAAAUCCGUGCCAGCAGCCGCGGUAAUACGGAAGCCCCGAGCGUUAUCCGGAUUCAUUGGGGUUAAAGGGAGCGUAAGCGGGGCGUCAAGUCAGCUUUGAAAUUUUGCGGCUCAACCCGACCACUGCAGUUGAAACUGGAAGACUUGAGUACAGUACAGGCAGGCGGAAUUCGUGGUGUAGCGGUGAAAUGCAUAGAUAUCACGAGGAACCCCGAUUGCGAAGGCAGCCUGCCGGGGUGCAACUGACGCUGAGGCUCGAAGGUGCGGGUAUCAAACAGGAUUAGAUACCCCGGUAGUC
rnacentral:rRNA from 1 species